rnacentral:rRNA from 1 species
AUAAAUUGUUGUUAAUAAAACCUCAGAGUAGUAACAGUAUUCUCUAAACUCAAAAAUUUUGGCGGCAUUUCCCCCUGUUAGAGGAACCUGCCCCUUAAACGAUGACCCACGAUUUAUUUUACCAUUUAUAAAAGUUUGUAUACCGCCGUUUAUGAAGAUACUAUAAAGUAUUUUCUUAUUUAUAUUAAUUUUUAUUUCAGGUCAAGGUGCAGCUUAUGAGAUGGUGGAGGUGGGUUACAUUAAUUUUAUUUAUAUAAAUAAUUAAUUUGAAAUUAAAUUGAAAGUGGAUUUAAUUGUAAAUUUACUAAUUAAGUAAAUUGAUUAGGU